rnacentral:rRNA from 1 species
GACGAACGCUGGCGGCGUGCCUAAUACAUGCAAGUAGAACGCUGAAGGAGGAGCUUGCUUCUCCGGAUGAGUUGCGAACGAGUGAGUAACGCGUAGGUAACCUGCCUGGUAGCGGGGGAUAACUAUUGGAAACGAUAGCUAAUACCGCAUAAGAGUAGAUGUCGCAUGACAUUUGCUUAAAAGGUGCAACUGCACCACUACCAGAUGGACCUGCGUUGUAUUAGCUAGUUGGUGAGGUAACGGCUCACCAAGGCAACGAUACAUAGCCGACCUGAGAGGGUGAUCGGCCACACUGGGACUGAGACACGGCCCAGACUCCUACGGGAGGCAGCAGUAGGGAAUCUUCGGCAAUGGACGGAAGUCUGACCGAGCAACGCCGCGUGAGUGAAGAAGGUUUUCGGAUCGUAAAGCUCUGUUGUAAGAGAAGAACGAGUGUGAGAGUGGAAAGUUCACACUGUGACGGUAUCUUACCAGAAAGGGACGGCUAACUACGUG